rnacentral:rRNA from 1 species
UACGAAGGGGGCUAGCGUUGCUCGGAAUGACUGGGCGUAAAGGGCGCGUAGGCGGUUUGGCCAGUCAGAUGUGAAAUUCCUGGGCUCAACCUGGGAGCUGCAUUUGAUACGUGCGGACUAGAGUGGGGAAGAGGGUCGUGGAAUUCCCAGUGUAGAGGUGAAAUUCGUAGAUAUUGGGAAGAACACCGGUGGCGAAGGCGGCGACCUGGUCCGUGACUGACGCUGAGGCGCGAAAGCGUGGGGAGCAAACAGG